rnacentral:rRNA from 1 species
AUUGAACGCUGGCGGCAGGCUUAACACAUGCAAGUCGAGCGAGCGGCGGACGGGUGAGUAAUGUCUGGGAAACUGCCUGAUGGAGGGGGAAAACUACUGGAAACGGUAGCUAAUACCGCAUACCAUUAGAUGUGCCCAGAUGGGAUUAGGUAGUAGGUUGGGUAAUGGCUCACCUAGGCAACGAUCCCUAGUGGGUCUGCGAGGAUGACCGGCCACACUGGAACUGAGACACGGUCCAGACUCCUACGGGAGGCAGCAGUGGGGAAUAUGGCACAAUGGGCGCAAGCCUGAUGCAGCCAUGCCGCGUUGGUGAAGAAGGCCUUCGGGUUGUAAAGCACUUGUAGCGGGGAGGCGUUACUCGCAGAAGAAUCACCGGCUAACUCCGUGCCAGCAGCCGCGGUAAUUC